UAACAACUAACUUAAUAUCCAGCAAGUACAACAACAAUUCAGCAAGAACAAACACAUAAGGGAUCUCACACAUACAGUAACAGAAUACGAACUAACACAUGACAAGUACGAACUGAACAUAUUAUCAGUAGCAUAGAGUAGAUGAUGGAACUAUCUCAAAUAUCACAGGCAGCAGAACAAUAUUACAAGUUGAACCACCUAGUUUUCUCAUGGACACAUCAAUAGUUAACUGAGAUUCAGAUUACAAGCUGCAGAAUAUUUAGAGCAAAAAUUCAGAAAACUACAGUAAGAGAAAAGAGAUUCAGAGUUGUCUCCUGGGUUGUAGAUGUUGUGGGUGAAGGAGAGCAGCAGGGACGAAGACGAUCAGCGAAGCCAAGUUGGAGAGGAUCAGCAAGGGGUCGUUGGAGAGGAUCCACAGCUCCGUUUCUUGAGGUUGAAGACGAGGAAGUUCAGCAGGUUGGCGUCAUCGUUGGAGAGAAGUGGUGGAUCGGGCAUCUCCACCAAUCUCCCGGCGACCUCUUCUCCCUUUCUCUCCUUCGAUCUGGUUCUUCUGCUCGUUCCCCUCAAUCCCCUGCUUCGAUCUGGUGGUGGUUGAGUGGUGGAAGGUAGCGAGGAGUUGGAGAGCAGCAGGUCGGCGAUCAGGGGCGGCAGCAAGGUGGAACGGCCUCCGAUCUCCUCUUCUUCUUCCUUCCCUCGACCCCCCUUUUCUUGCCCGAUUCGAUCUGGUGGUAGGUGAGUCGUGGAAGGCAGCGAGGAAUUGGGGAGAAAAAGGCAGUCGGUCUGAUCCUUUUCUUUCCUUCGACGCCCUCAACUCCUCUUCUUUCUUGUGGCCUUGCGCGUGGGAUCAGAUAUGCCUCUCGCUGGUCGCGCCAGACCAGCCCCUUCUCACGCGCCCAAGCAGACAUCUGCUCUUCUUUGUCUGACUAG
rnacentral:lncRNA from 1 species